GUUUUUGUAGUUUAAAAAAAACGCUAGGCUGUGAAUCUAGCAAUAGGGACCUUCAACCCCCUUUAAAACC
rnacentral:tRNA from 1 species